rnacentral:lncRNA from 1 species
GGUAUUGUAAAAAUGACAUAUUCGGGUAUUCUAACGGUCGACUUCCUGGCAGGCUUGUUUAAUUUAAUACACAAUGAACAAGGUCAAUGAAUCACGUGCGUGAUUGCGAGUGAACCAGGUGUGCACAGGUAAAACUUAUAAAAUAUACCAAUAAAACUGUCCGUGAUAUACAGCCUGUGUACAAAAUCUAACAAAAUUUAAGAGUGGUUAUAAGAAUAGGUAUAGACCACAUCCCC